AUUCAUUACACCGUACUAACCCGAAGCUUAUGUUACAAGCUUAGGUUGUUUUCAUGUUUUGUUAAAGAUAUUUUACUAAUUUCAAAUUUGAAAACCCAGCCUCCUCCAUUGCUGAACUCCACCACGCCACAGACCUGUCUUCGUAAGAGGGAGUUUCUUCUGCAGCUCUGCGCAAGCCAUGAACCAGCAGGAUGAUGAUGAUCGUUCGCGGCGUUUAUUCACUUCUGAGAAUAUGAUACAAGGUUAUAUGCCUCUUAAAAAACGAAAAAGAGGCGCGAGGAUGCACAAGGAUGUUAGACCCCAUUAUCACUGAUGAUGGAGUUGAUUUCGUCUAUACCUGUCUAAUAACUUUGAUCUAUUUUCAGCGGCUGAACUUCGUCCGGAAUCUGUUUGAUGAUUUGCUCAAAAGAACAAGAUUGAUGAAUAUAUCAUUAUUCAAGUAACUUUUGUGUGCGACUAUGUUGAUGCUUUUAUGGACCAGUGCUACAAGUUCUUAUAUGUACAUGGAUCCAUGUAUUGAGUUAAGUAUUACUUCUGUGACUUAUUAUUGUUAUUAGCAGUCAUUCUGAUUUUAAUUUUUAAUAUUGUGUGGUGCUUGCAUUUGAUAUUUAAGUACCAAUGAUGUUUAUAUUGAAGUUUUGGCGUUGAAAAUUAUAAUGGGAAAGUAUUGUGGAGAGUUGAUAUAUUCUGUAUGAAAUAAAACAAUGUAGAGAUGUAUGCAGCAUAUUACAGAAGCAAAUGUAGUCCUCAUGUAACCAACUUUCGAAGCCUCUUCCCGCUUUAGAAAACAGAAACAAAGGAGAUGUAUGCAGCACAUAAAAUACAAAAGAUGACUUCCCAGGAUAGUUAAACAAGGGAAAUAAAUAAAUUAUCUUUCACAUUUCAGUAUGAUGCAGAUAAAUAACCUAUGUGAUGCAUAUUGACAAAGUGGUAUAUUAGAAAGUGUAAUUUAUUUCUAAUUAAUUUAUGCAUCAACAGUUUCACACCAUAUAAUAUUUUUGUGGUUUACUAGAUAUAUAGGCACAAUAACUAGCAUUAGUGACCUGGAUUUUGUUUGAUGGCCAAACUCUCAUUGGCGUUGUGGUAAAGGUUUGUCCAUAUAAGGAGCAACUAUCACAGCAAGAAUACAUUCGAGGAAUCAGUGCUUGGAAUUUGAACUUGGAGGAUUUGAAGAACCAGGCUGCCCUGCUAUGCUGGUGGUUCAAGAUACUAUUAUCAACUCACCAUAAUUGGGCAAUAACCUUCUUGAAUGUGCCACGUUGUUUGUAGAUCCAGGACUAUGUUGCCAUAUUGAACAUACAAGGAUCCAGUAAAGUGGAAAACAAAAGGAUGUGUAUGAUGAAGUUGGUUUUGCUGUGGAUAAUCCACCUCCCGGAACAGUUAAUCAGCCAGAUGUUGCACCUCAUUACCAGGAUGGGCUCAGUGAUAUCCAUACUAUGGAAGAUUCACUUGCUGCAUUCCAAUGAAAUCUCUACAGGCCCUCAAGUACAGCUUUACCUCUCGCUCGAAGCCUCAAAAUUAUGAUACGCAGCAGCAAAGAGUCCUGUUGCUUGAGAUUCACUGUCUUAAAAACUACAGAGAUGCACGGCAAAAGUAUCCUGUGAAGUCCAAACUUUUACAAAAUAAACACGCCUUCAUUCAUCUCCUCUUACCGGAGAUUUCAGUAUAAAUGGCAAGUGGUGUAGGGCUCCAUGAUUCUGUGUUGUCCAGACACACCAAAAAAUUUGCCUAAACUUGAAUGAAGUUCUGUGCUAAAAGAAAAUGACCUCUGAAGAUGUAAGAUAUAGACAAGUUAGUUGGACUUUAGGCAAAAGACUUGGGAUUGUUAAUAUUAUUUUGUUAUUCA